CCCCAGGUCAGGCGGGGCUACCCGCUGAAUUUAAGCAUAUCAAUAAGCGGAGGAAAA
rnacentral:rRNA from 1 species